GGGGUGGAAGUCGUCUUCAUAGCGUACCCAGCUUUCUUGGCCAAAGUGAACUCCCCUAUUUGGUUUGUGCUCUUCCUCCUGAUGAUUCUAACACUGGGCAUCGAUAGUCUGAUAGGACUCGUGGAAACUGUCACAACGGCCCUCUUUGACAACUUCACCCGUCUAAGGAAUCGCUACUUCCCAAAUGUGUGCGCAGUCAUUUUCGUGAUGUUUCUCCUUGGACUCCCGAUGUGUACGAGCACCGGGUUCUACCUCGUAGAGUUUAUGCACUCAGUCACUCACACAUGUGCAACCUGAACCUUCCUCUUCUUGGGAUCUCACACAUCGUCCUCGUCUGCUAUGUAUUUGGAUUUGAUAAUCUGAUGACAAUCAUAAGACAGGAGUUGAAAGUCACAGUUCCUAAAUUUAUUGAAUGGUACCUGAGGUUG